rnacentral:rRNA from 1 species
AAGUCGAACGAGUGACGUACGGGUGCGUAACACGUAUGAACCUACCUUGACAGGAGGAUAGCUCGGGGAAACUCGAAUUAACCCUCCAUGAGAUGGGCAUGCGUCUGAUUAGUUAGUUGGCAGUGUAAUGGACUACCAAGACAAUGAUCAGUAGGGGACCUGAGAGGGUGAUCCCCCACACUGGCACUGAGAUACGGGCCAGACUCCUACGGGAGGCAGCAGUAGGGAAUAUUGGUCAAUGGAUGGAAGUCUGAACCAGCCAUGCCGCGUGCAGGAAGAAGGCUUAUGCGUUGUAAACUGCUUUUGCCAGGGGUGAAGGUACCUGGUGAAUAAGCCACGGCUAACUACGUGCCAGCAGCCGCGGUAAUACGUAGGUGGCAAGCGUUGUCCGGAUUUAUUGGGUUUAAAGGGUGCGUAGGCGGCCCCGUAAGUCAGUGGUGAAAUAUCUCAGCUUAACUGAGAGGGUGCCAUUGAUACUGCGGGGCUUGAGUACAGAUGAGGUAGGCGGAAUUGACGGUGUAGCGGUGAAAUGCAUAGAUAUCGUCAAGAACACCGAUAGCGAAGGCAGCUUACCAAGCUGUAACUGACGCUGAGGCACGAAAGUGUGGGGAUCAAACAGGAUUAGAUACCCUGGUAGUCCACACUGUAAACGUUGAUGACUCGAUGUUGGCGUCCAAGAGCAAUCGUUAAGUCAU